UAGGUGUCCUAAGACCAGCUCAGUGAGGACAGAAACCUCGCGUAGAGCAAAAGGGCAAAAGCUGGUUUGAUCCCGAUGUUCAGUACGCACAGGGACUGCGAAAGCAAGGCCUAUCGAUCCUUUUGGCUUGAA
rnacentral:ncRNA from 1 species